AUUGAACGCUGGCGGAAUGCUUUACACAUGCAAGUCGAACGGCAGCACGGGGGCAGCCCUGGUGGCGAGUGGCGAACGGGUGAGUAAUACAUCGGAGCGUGCCCGGUCGUGGGGGAUAACGUAGCGAAAGUUACGCUAAUACCGCAUACGAUCUGAGGAUGAAAGCGGGGGACCUUCGGGCCUCGCGCGAUCGGAGCGGCCGAUGUCAGAUUAGGUAGUUGGUGGGGUAAAGGCCUACCAAGCCGACGAUCUGUAGCUGGUCUGAGAGGACGACCAGCCACACUGGGACUGAGACACGGCCCAGACUCCUACGGGAGGCAGCAGUGGGGAAUUUUGGACAAUGGGCGCAAGCCUGAUCCAGCCAUUCCGCGUGCAGGACGAAGGCCUUCGGGUUGUAAACUGCUUUUGUACGGAACGAAAAGGCUCUGGCUAAUACCUGGGGCUCAUGACGGUACCGUAAGAAUAAGCACCGGCUAACUACGUG
rnacentral:rRNA from 1 species